rnacentral:lncRNA from 1 species
GUUGAGAACCGUUACUUGACUGGUACCUCCAGCCCACCAGCAGGCAAUGAUGGCAUCAGACUAGAGGAUCACCAGUAAAUCAUUGUAAACAUUCUUGAAUAUGAGUCAGUCUGGUAUGAACAUACCUCUAACAGCCUCGCAUACACACUUGCUGAUCUCCCCCUUACAAGCAACAGAAAACAGGUCUUGACCCAGAGCCUUCAACAAACAAGCGUGGAAAGAGAGAAAGUCCACUUUAAGCGAUGGAAAAUCAGCCCCAAUUCUGAAGGAACAACCAUGAACAGAUGAUUUAAGGAGAAUCAAUUCUUUGCUCUUUGCAGAAGGAGCCAACAGAGUGAGAUGAAGGGGACAACUUCAGAUACUCAGGCAGAAGCAUAAGUCCCCACCUGCUGACCUGCUGCCUGCUAUCUUAACACGAAUUCUUCAUCUGAAUGGAUGAGCUUUUCACAGAGUUCCAAACUAAGGAAUCCAGGAGUGGCCAAUCCAGAGAUUCAUUCCUUAUCUUUGACGAACAUCUGAACUCCUGGCUCAUCCUGUGGAAUUCAGGCCAUACAGGAGAUCAAGGUCAUUUGCUUUGGGUUAAAUGAAUGUUGCCAGGUGGAGGUUGCUAGAGGGAGAGUGCUAUGUGAAAGUGCUGUAUAAACUGCUUGCUUUUCACAAACAGUAGUGAUUCUUUAUCCUGUCCAGCCUGCCACAACUGGACCAUCCUGUAUGUAAGUCCCCUUAAUAAAUCCUGUGUCUCAUUCACUGGCUUCAAGUCUCUUCCUGGGCCUCUUGAACGUGGUGCCACCUGUAUUGAAGUCAACAGAAGUUCAGCACAACACAGGUCAAAAUGAAGAUUCUGACUCAGUAGGUCAGGAUGUUCUAACGAGCUCUAGCUGACAUGAUACGUCAGGGCUGCAGACUAGCUUUGAGCAACAAGGUGCUAGAGAAAUACCUAUAG